GUUAACCUUUUUGGUCCUCUUUGGUGCUCUUAUGGAAGAGAGAUGGUCCUAUGUCAAUCUUUUUUGUGAUCCUAGAUAGAUCCAUAGAGGUCCUUUUCUUGUGCAAGUUCAGCCAGCGUCAAUUUCCCUACCAUUGUUUAUACUGUCAAUUGGUUGCCUUCAGAAGAUGAGAAGAAAGAGAAAAGGGAGUCUCUCUCGGUGGAGGGAUUGGAAGCAUCUUAGACAUUUUAGAUGCAUCACAAAUGAUCUGAUUUGGCAUACCUAUGGUUAUUGUCAAAUGAAUGUUAAUAUGAAUAGUUAUGCUUCUAACUUAGGAUCCAAACCAUGCUGCUUGACAGCUUGUGUGACCGGUGCUCACUCUAUUGGUGAUGCUACAUGGAUGAUUCAAUUUGGAGAUGCCGAUGUGUGAUGGCGGAUGGUGGAACAGAGUCCAGUAUCGAUGCUUUCUCUAUAGUUGGAUUUUCUAGGCAAUUAUGUUCUUGGUGCUUUGUUUUAUUUAUCUUUGAAAAUAGUAGUCUGUAUACUUUGGUGACUAUAAAUGGCUUGAAUGCUUUCAGUAACCGUAAUCAGGAGCAACUGUUAAGUGUGAGGAUUGUAGGAAGCCAUAGAGAAUCCACUUUUAUGUUCACAAACAAACAUGUCUCAUAAAUAGCCUAUGCAGACCUGGUCACCUGCAUAUUUGUUGCCCACUGUUUCAUGAUUGAUAUGUAGCUCCAUUUCUUAUUA